rnacentral:rRNA from 1 species
AGGACGAACGCUGGCGGCGUGCUUAACACAUGCAAGUCGAGCGGAAAGGCCAUUCGGGGUACUCGAGCGGCGAACGGGUGAGUAACACGUGAGCAACCUGCCCCUGGCUCUGGGAUAGCUCCGGGAAACCGGGAUUAAUACCGGAUAUGACCCCCUUCUGCAUGGUGGGGGGUGGAAAGUUUUUCGGCUGGGGAUGGGCUCGCGGCCUAUCAGCUUGUUGGUGGGGUGAUGGCCUACCAAGGCGACGACGGGUA